rnacentral:misc_RNA from 1 species
CGAAUGACUGCCCAGUGCCGUUGUAAUCGUGUACCCACAAGUAUGCACAUUGCUCGCUAGAACGAGAGAAAUGUCAAUACCGUGCCAUGCAACACCCGCUCGAAUCNNNNNNNNNNNAAGACAACGCCAAUAAAUGCUAUUCGCCAGCCGCCGAUGCCGUGAUCCAGUUUUGAUGUUCGAGUUCCUCAUUUGGAAGAAAAGAGAGGUUUUCGUGUGAGUACCCGCAACAUAAGAAGAAGUUGCUAUCUCCAUAGAGCAACCG